rnacentral:lncRNA from 1 species
CACUAUAUAUGAAAACAAUUCUUGAAAAUCAAAUCAAAACCCAUAAUCUUUUUUUUUUUCUUUUUAAUUAUUGCAUUCUUCUUCAGAGAGAACAGCCAGAGAUGGGCAUAAUUUUCAAUGUUCAUUUUCUUUUGCCUUCUCUCUGGCUCUUCUUCUUAUUCUUGAACACUCCUCAAACUAUUACCUAUGCACAAAUUGCUCAAACCCCAUUUUCUUCUACACCAUUUUUAACAACCCCACCACCCCCUC